rnacentral:rRNA from 1 species
AUGGGAUCCCUAUCCCGCGAGAUCCUGGCACAGGUCGCGACACUCUCGACGCCGGCCGAAGUAUGGCAUGCCAUCCAAGCUCAAGCAAUCAACACCCGCAUCGAGCUCACGAAUCUUCAAAAAGGUAACAUGACAAUGGCUGAAUAUCUUAGAAAAAUAAAGAGCCUUACAGAUGAAGUAGCUUGCACCGCCGCCGCGCUCUCCGAUCCGGAGAUCGUGUCCAAGAUCCUUGCCGGCCUCGACAUGGACUACAACCCUGUGGUCUCGGCUCUUGCUGCACGGGUGGAGCCCAUCACGGUUCAGGAGCUGUAUAGCCAGCUCUUGAGCUUCGACGCUUGCCUCAGUCUCCUCCACGGCACCAACGUUCGACAGUCAUCCGCCAACUCUACCUCACGUGGCCGUGGCCGUGGGCGCGGUCACCAGGGGCACCGAGGUGGCGGGCGCGGGCGCGGCAACAGCGACUACACCAACAACAGCAGCGGCGGUGGUUACAACACCGGCGGCGGCAGCGGCUACAACAACAGGGCAGGGGGUGGUGGCUUCAACGCCAACAACAGCCGCCGCCCCCCUUCCUCCCGUGCGAAACCUCGCUGCCAGCUCUGCAAGAAGGCGGGCCAUGAAGUUAUGGACUGCUGGCACCGGUACGAUGAGAACUUUGUUCCCGAUUCCCGUCAUGUUGCUGCUGCCAUGCAUGAACAAGGAGGAGAAGGGGUUUGGUAA